ACGAACGCUGGCGGCGUGCCUAAUACAUGCAAGUCGAACGAAACUUUCUUACACCGAAUGCUUGCAUUCACCGUAAGAAGUUGAGUGGCGGACGGGUGAGUAACACGUGGGUAACCUGCCUAAAAGAAGGGGAUAACACUUGGAAACAGGUGCUAAUACCGUAUAUCUCUAAGGAUCGCAUGAUCCUUAGAUGAAAGAUGGUUCUGCUAUCGCUUUUAGAUGGACCCGCGGCGUAUUAACUAGUUGGUGGGGUAACGGCCUACCAAGGUGAUGAUACGUAGCCGAACUGAGAGGUUGAUCGGCCACAUUGGGACUGAGACACGGCCCAAACUCCUACGGGAGGCAGCAGUAGGGAAUCUUCCACAAUGGACGCAAGUCUGAUGGAGCAACGCCGCGUGAGUGAAGAAGGUCUUCGGAUCGUAAAACUCUGUUGUUAGAGAAGAACACGAGUGAGAGUAACUGUUCAUUCGAUGACGGUAUCUAACCAGCAAGUCACGGCUAACUACGUGCCAGCAGCCGCGGUAAUACGUAGGUGGCAAGCGUUGUCCGGAUUUAUUGGGCGUAAAGGGAACGCAGGCGGUCUUUUAAGUCUGAUGUGAAAGCCUUCGGCUUAACCGGAGUAGUGCAUUGGAAACUGGAAGACUUGAGUGCAGAAGAGGAGAGUGGAACUCCAUGUGUAGCGGUGAAAUGCGUAGAUAUAUGGAAGAACACCAGUGGCGAAAGCGGCUCUCUGGUCUGUAACUGACGCUGAGGUUCGAAAGCGUGGGUAGCAAACAGGAUGAGAUACCCUGGUAGUCCACGACGUAAACGAUGAAUGCUAGGUGUUGGAGGGUUUCCGCCCUUCAGUGCCGCAGCUAACGCAAUAAGCAUUCCGCCUGGGGAGUACGACCGCAAGGUUGAAACUCAAAGGAAUUGACGGGGGCCCGCACAAGCGGUGGAGCAUGUGGUUUAAUUCGAAGCAACGCGAAGAACCUUACCAGGUCUUGACAUCCUUUGACCACCUAAGAGAUUAGGCUUUCCCUUCGGGGACAAAGUGACAGGUGGUGCAUGGCUGUCGUCAGCUCGUGUCGUGAGAUGUUGGGUUAAGUCCCGCAACGAGCGCAACCCUUGUUGUCAGUUGCCAGCAUUAAGUUGGGCACUCUGGCGAGACUGCCGGUGACAAACCGGAGGAAGGUGGGGACGACGUCAAGUCAUCAUGCCCCUUAUGACCUGGGCUACACACGUGCUACAAUGGACGGUACAACGAGUCGCGAGACCGCGAGGUUUAGCUAAUCUCUUAAAGCCGUUCUCAGUUCGGAUUGUAGGCUGCAACUCGCCUACAUGAAGUCGGAAUCGCUAGUAAUCGCGAAUCAGCAUGUCGCGGUGAAUACGUUCCCGGGCCUUGUACACACCGCCCGUCACACCAUGAGAGUUUGUAACACCCAAAGCCGGUGGGGUAACCGCAAGGAGCCAGCCGUCUAAGGUGGGACAGAUGAUUGGGGUG
rnacentral:rRNA from 1 species